CUAUUGGGUACAGCGCAUGCCGUUCUUCAGAUGGGCCCGCCCUCGUUUGUCUGAGACACUCCUUAUAGGCGAAUGUUUUCUGCCAGUCAUCUGGCUGAUCCCGCCGCCUUAAAAUAAACUCCAAUUUGAUAGGUCGGAUUUCUGGCACAGCCUGGCCUCCCUUGGAGCACCUGAUAGGAACGACGCUCAUCUUCGCCGGAGAAGCCCCGCCUUCUUCCCACUUUUAUUGGCUCCCUCACUAAUCCAUCGAACCGAAAAUUGUUAGCGUUCCAGUCAAAACGACUCCCUUACCGCGCCACACCGCAAGGAGAAAAGGAAACCCCCUCCCUUUUGCCUCUCUCCAGUGGUUGCUGCAGAUGCCCAUCUUCUACGUCUCUACCCGAUUAGUCAAUGAAGAGUGGAAAGGGUCGUAGGACCACCGGUGGUCUCUGAUUGGGUUAAAAAGGAAAGCCCUCCCCAUUUCGGCAGGCGCUCUCUGGCUCAGUCUAGGAAGGGAUCGGAGGCGAGAGCGCAAGCGCGGACAGGCUUUCAGGCGUCCCCGGAGGCGGGGCGACCCUCUAAACCAGCGAAGGCCUGGCGUACCCCAAGUAGUUAUUGACAUUCUGUGUGUGGUGCCGGAGGGUAGACCGAGACAGAGGGGUAGCUGCCAGUGGCUCUGUCUCCGCUGCUAUCCCUUAUUCCUCUCCAUCUCGAAUCCCCACAACGCCGGGGGAAUUUUAAUAACCCAAACUUUAACCCUUUACGUAGAUUGGCCCUGCCGACGGUCUUCGGACCCUCUCAAGUUCGCCGGCGUCCUUUCCCUGCUCCGCUCCACCUCUAAAUUCAGCCAAAAGAGCACUCUUCAGUUUGCACAAAGGGAAGGGUACACACCUAGGAGUGGAAUUCCUGAAUCAUACUUGGUAUGAUGGAUUUCGACAAGUCCAGCUCGUAGCAGGACAGCGGGACCCAGUGGAGAUGGAGUAGUUGCCCCUCGUUCAGGGGUACAAAGUAAUGCCCCCCCAUCCCAGUGGGAUGAGUCACCGCAGAUGCCAGUAGAUAAUUCCUGUCUCAGGCAGAUUAUCUACAUCAAGAAGAGCCUUUCAUAAUCUCAUCAAGAGCAGACCAACAGUCCAGGAAAACUGUCCUUUUAGCAGAUGAAAGAAAAUGACACUUUACUUUUCCUGCUGAAUAACUGUUGAAUUUCCCGUGGUUGCUGUGACAAAUUACUACGGACUCAGUGGCUUAAGAUGACAGAAAUGUCUUCUACUGUUCUGGAGGUGAGAAGUCUGAAAUCACCAUCACUGGGGUGAAAUCGAGGUGUGGAUGCCCCCCACCCCCACCUUCUGGAGGUGCUAGGAGAGCAUCCUGUCUGGGCUUCUCCCAGAAUCUGGUAGCUGACCACUCUCUCUUUCUUUCUUUCUUUCU